rnacentral:rRNA from 1 species
AUUGAACGCUGGCGGCAUGCCUAACACAUGCAAGUCGAACGAGCGGCGGACGGGUGAGUAAUGUAUGGGAACCUGCCCGGUAGAGGGGGAUAACUACUGGAAACGGUGGCUAAUACCGCAUACUAUCGGAUGAACCCAUAUGGGAUUAGCUAGUUGGUGGGGUAAAGGCUCACCAAGGCGACGAUCUCUAGCUGGUCUGAGAGGAUGACCAGCCACACUGGGACUGGGACACGGCCCAGACUCCUACGGGAGGCAGCAGUGGGGAAUAUUGGACAAUGGGGGAAAGCCUGAUGCAGCCAUGCCGCGUGUAUGAAGAAGGCCUUCGGGUUGUAAAGUACUUUUAGCGGGGAGGCGGUACCUGCAGAAGAAGCACCGGCUAACUCCGUGCCAGCAGCCGCGGUAAUAC